rnacentral:tRNA from 1 species
CAGAAAAUAGUUUAUUAAAAUAUCAGUUUUGGAGACUGGGGAUAAGCUUAGCCUUUUUUCUGA